rnacentral:rRNA from 1 species
GACGAACGCUGGCGGCGUGCUUAACACAUGCAAGUCGAACGGAAAGGCCUGCUUUCCCUUGUGGAUUGCGGGUACUCGAGUGGCGAACGGGUGAGUAACACGUGAGUGAUCUGCCCCCAACUUGGGUAUAAGCCUGGGAAACUGGGUCUAAUUCCCGAUAGGACUGCAGGGUGGUGCCUGUGGUGGAAAACGAUUUUCUAGUGGUUGGGGAUGAGCUCGCGGCCUAUCAGCUUGUUGGUGGGGUAAUGGCCUACCAAGGCGGCGACGGGUAGCCGGCCUGAGAGGGUGGACGGCCCCAUUGGGACGGAGAUACGGCCCAGACUCCUACGGGAGGCAGCAGUGGGGAAUAUUGCACAAUGGGCGGAAGCCUGAUGCAGCGACGCCGCGUGGGGGAUGACGGCCUUCGGGUUGUAAACUCCUUUCGACCGCGAGGAAGCCACCUGGUUGGAAGGGUGGUGACGGUAGUGGUAGAAGAAGCACCGGCUAACUACGUG